AUGUGCCUACCUAAGGAUAGAGGAGGUAUAGGAUUCAGGGAUCUCCAUGCUUUUAAUUUAGCAAUGUUGGCAAAAAAAAGUCGAAGAAUGAUCUCACACCCUGAAACUUUAUGUGCUCGUGUGCUUAGAGCAAAAUACUUCCCGGAUGGCAACAUACUCAAAGCAGGUCCCAAAAAAGGCUCCUCGUACACGUGGCAAAGUAUCUUUGUUGGACUCCAAACCUUCAGGAGGGGUCACAUUUGGAGAGUUGGAACUGGGGAGAAAAUAAACAUCUGGGAGGAUCAUUGGAUUCCUUCUAACCCAACAAGGAUGGUAUUCACAAGAAGAGGAAACACUUUGGUAAGAACAGUAAAUGAGUUGAUAAUCCCAGACAUGAAAAUAUGGGAUGAAGAGCUCAUCAGGAGUAUCUUUCUUCCGGUGGAUGCAAAGAACAUUCUUAGAAUCCCACUUUCGAAGCACCUUCUUGACGAUUUUGUUGCCUGGAACAGAACAAAAUCGUUCUCAUUCUCAGUAAAAUCGGCGUUGUUAAACACGUGA
rnacentral:rRNA from 1 species